ACGCUCGACACCUACGGGGGCAGCAGUGGGGAAUAUUGCACAAUGGGGGAAACCCUGAUGCAGCAACGCCGCGUGAAGGAAGAAGGUUUUCGGAUCGUAAACUUCUAUCAAUAGGGAAGAAAGAAAUGACGGUACCUAAAUAAGAAGCCCCGGCUAACUACGUGCCAGCAGCCGCGGUAAUCUGAGCGGGCUGGCAAGGC
rnacentral:rRNA from 1 species